rnacentral:rRNA from 1 species
GACGAACGCUGGCGGCGUGCUUAACACAUGCAAGUCGAACGGAAAGGCCCUGAUUUUGUGGGGUGCUCGAGUGGCGAACGGGUGAGUAACACGUGAGUAACCCGCCCCUGACUUUGGGAUAAAUUCAGGGAACUGGGGCUAAUAUAGGAUAGGAGCUCCUGCAGCAUGGUGGGGGAUGGAAAGUUUCGGCGGUUGGGGAUGGACUCGCGGCUUAUCCGCUUGUUGGUGGGGUAGUGGCUUACCAAGCGUUUGACGGGUAGCCGGCCUGAGAGGGUGACCGGCCACAUUGGGACUGAGAUACGGCCCAGAAUCCUACGUGAGGCAGCAGUGGGGAAUAUUGCACAAUGGGCGGAAGCCUGAUGCAGCGACCCCGCGUGCGGGAUGACGGCCUUCGGGUGGUAAACCGCUUUCGCCGGUGACGAAGCGUUAGUGACGGUAAUUGGUAAAGAAGCACCGGCUAACUACGUG